GGGAGAGGAGUUGGGUAGGAGGCAGCAACGCUGGAGGUCGAAGAAGAAGCAGGCGAAGAUGGAUGCAGAGAUGGAGGCAAAUUGCAAGAGAGCAUUUUGAAUAAAAGAGUGGGUCUUAUCCGCAAAAGACAGAGGAGAGAGAAAGGAGGAAGACAAAGUCGCUGGUGUGCGCCCUCAGCCUCAUCCCUCGCAACCUCCCCUUGCCCCCCGACCUGCAGCUGUCUCCUCCAUCUGCG
rnacentral:lncRNA from 1 species